CAGAGUUCAUGCCCGUACGGGUAGAUCUCCCACCCUCUGUUAUCAUUACCUCUGUUGCUUUGGCGGGCCGUCAGGCCUCGGUCAUGCUACCGGCUCUCGCUGGUAAGCGCCCGCCAGAGGACCUCAAACCCCUGAAUAUCAGUGUCGUCUGAGUACUAUGUAAUCGUUA
rnacentral:misc_RNA from 1 species